GGUACUUCAUUGGGCCCGUAAGGCGCGUGUCGUCUCAAAUAAAGAAAAAGGUGAAAUUUUUUUUCAGACGGGAAAGGAAAAGCGAUGAUGAGGCAGAGAGAAGGAGGAAUAUGUUGUAUGAAGCAGAAAGUGUAAUCAGACAAGAACUGAGAGCCUCUUAUCUCAACAAAUACAUGAAACAACGGAUACAUGCUACACAAAGGAUUCGUCAACUCUUCAUCCAAGGAAUUAGCCUCACAUCUUACAUCAACAAAGAGAUGUUCAAGGUUAAGAAUAAUGCAUACCACCAAUCCAACAACUCACAAAACAACAAUCCUGCUUCUCUUAGAGGGCUGGAACUUGAUAACAUUACUGUUGGUGAUUCAAAGUCUGCAAUCAAAAUGGUGGGCUGCGAUGAUGAGUUCAACACCAUAAUGGACUACCUGAGCCAGCAAUCCUCAAAACGAGAAAUUGUCUCAAUUGUGGGAAUGGGUGGCAUCGGUAAAACCACCUUAGCUAGAAAGAUUUAUGAAGAUGCCUCAAUCAUUUCUUGGUUUGAUUGUCGAGCUUGGGUUACCAUCUCACAGGACUAUAAUCCAACACAAGUGUUCCAAUGCCUGCUUCAUUCUCUUGCCCCCGGGGCCAGUGACAACAAUGGUGCUAGCAACUACGAAUUGGCUGAGAAAGUAUACAGGCUUCUAAAACAUCGAAGGUAUUUGAUCAUAGUAGAUGAUAUUUGGAGUACAGAUGUCUGGGAUGAUUUAAUGAGAUGUUUUCAGGAUGACAAUACUGGAAGUCGAAUAUUGUUGACCACUCGGCAAAAAAAUGUGGCUGAUUAUGCUAAUCCAGGUAAUAAUUUUUGCCAUACCUUGCGCUUUUUGGAUUCAAAUGAAAGUUGGAAUCUUUUUCAGAGCAAGGUGUGUAAGAGAUCAAUAACUCUACUGUCCCCUGAAUUUGAAAAAAUUGGUAGAGAGAUAGUAGACAAGUGCAAAGGAUUACCUCUUGCAAUUGUUGUGGUUGCUGGACUCCUCUCAAACUCCAACCAAACUAUUCAUGAAUGGGAGCAUAUUGCAAAAUGUGUCCCUGCUUUGAGUUUAGAUCAUUCUAAUCAGCAGGGUGAGAACAUCAUUGAUUUGAGUUACACCUUCUUGCCUCAUCACCUUAAACUUUGUUUUUUGUCAUUUGGGUGUUUUCCAGAAGAUUAUGUGGUUUCUGAACAGACGAUGGUUGAUUUUUGGGUUCGGGAGGGAUUUCUAAAGGUUUUGAUGUCUGAUGAGAGCUUGGAAGGUGUGGCAAGGAGGAACUUUCAAGAUCUUGUGGAUAGAAAUCUUGUUCUAAUUCGUCGAGACAGAAAUGAUAUAGAAUUAUAUCAAAUGCAUGAUGUCUUGCGUGAAUUGGCUUUGAGAGAAGCCCAAAAAGAAAAUCUUUUAUGUUUCAAGAAGGGUUAUGAUAUAAUUAGUUUGAGGUGGAAGAGAAAUGAAUCAAUAAAGUCUUCCCAUAUAUCUCAACCAUGGAGCAUCCAAUCAAGAAUUUGCAGUUACAACACUAUAACUCCUACUACCAACACUUCUUCACUGAUUGAUAGAAUUUAUUUUGGCAGGACUUCAAGACGGGUGGGGGUGUAUGCACAUUUUAAGUUUUUAAGGGCAUUGGAAGUAUCCAGUGUGCAGAUAAAUGUCCAUAAUAUUUUUUUGGAGAUUGUGGGUCUAGUGCAUCUGAGAUUCUUAACUAUUAAGUGUGGGUUAAAUAUUCAUUAUCUGCCUUUGUUCAUGAUGCGGAAUCUACAGGAGCUACGAGUUUUUAAUUAUUCACCAUGUGUACCCCUUGAUAUUUGGGGAUUACCUCAAUUAAGGAAUCUCUAUGUUAAUGGAAUCGUUACACUAGUUCCUCCAAGAUCGGUUCAUCAUAAUUUGGAGAGCAUUAGAUGGUUGGAUUAUAGGAGUUGUACAAUGGAGUUGUUCUUGAGGAUCCCAAAUCUAAGGACAUUGAAAGUUACUACUAAUGAUAAAAUUAAAUGCAAAGCUCCCAAUUGGUUUGAAAGUCUUGUCUAUUUAUAUAAAGUGGAAACACUGGUGGUUGAUGAUGUCGAACUUCCGGAGUUUAGAACUAUUUAUUCUAUGGGGAUGCUAAGCCUAGAGAAUUUUUGGCCAAAUCUUAAGGUGUUAAGUUUCUCGAAAACAUAUUUAAAAUGGAAGGAUAUGGAUGUUAUUGGUAAGUUGUCUAAGCUUGAGGACCUCACAUUGUAUAGAUGUGCUGUUAAGGAUCAAAAAUGGAAACCCAAAGAUGGAGGAUUUCGUCAAUUAAAGUUCUUGAAGAUAUAUGGGAGUCCUCUACAAUAUUGGGAAGCCACUAGUAAUCAUUUUCCCGUCCUUGAAAAUCUAGUCCUUUGUGACAUAGAUUUGAAAGAAAUUCCUAGUGAUUUUGUAGAAAUAACUACUCUCAAAUCAAUCAAAUUAGAAAGUUGUUUAGAGUCACUUAUAUCAUCUGUUAAGCGUAUUCAAAAUGAGCAGCAAGAGUAUGGAAAUGACACAUUUGUUGUUGAUAUUUCUGGCGAUUAAUUUCUAAACCAUAUUCAAAUGGUAUGUUGCCCAGAGGUUUUACCAACGCAUCAAACUGCCCACUGGUUAUUUAAGGUGAGAGUAGGGUGCACACUGGACAGGCGGGUGGGGCUUCUAGGAGUGCAUGCUCCGAAAGCUAGGGUUUGAGGAGGAUUGGGUGAUAAGGUUGAUUAUGUGUGAUUUACUCGAUAUACCUGCUUUUGCACAAUUGGAGAAUGAUGCUAAAUAUGCUCUGGUACGGUGUAUCAACUUCUUAAGAUCUUUUUGACUCAGAGGUUGGAUGCAUACCUGGAUUUCCAACCAGCAAAUUCCACUAUUGAAAAGCUAUGGCUCUAGUGAAUCUGGUCAAAUUCCUUAUUCUGUGAUCAAGGAUGUUCUGCAGGUGGAGCCAUGGGUUGUCAAGGUAAUCACAGUAAAGUUAAUUGAUUACAAGAUUGAUCAAAUGUGAGGUACUAGAUGAAGGAAACAAGCACCAAAACAACAUUCAUCCUCUAGUCAUUAUGUUGAUGACAAUCUUCUACAUGAUAUAUUCGAUUGAAUAAAUUAUGUUGUUUUAUAUUUUCAUAUUAAAAUACUUUUUUGUUUUCUAUGAAAUUUAAUUGAUAUAUAGCAUACUAUGCUCCAAAUAUUACUGAAUCAUAUUUAAUGUUAUUA